GGCGCUAUAGUGUAGUGGUUAUCACUUGGGAUUCUGAUGUGGUGUUCCAAAAAGUGUUCCCAAAACCCAGGUUCGAGCCCUGGUAGCGCCU